ACCUACGGGGGGCAGCAGUGAGGAAUAUUGGUCAAUGGUCGGGAGACUGAACCAGCCAAGCCGCGUGAGGGAGGAAGGUACAGAGUAUCGUAAACCUCUUUUGUCAGGGAACAAAGGCGGGGACGUGUCCCCGGAUGAGUGUACCUGAAGAAAAAGCAUCGGCUAACUCCGUGCCAGCAGCCGCGGUAAUACGGAGGAUGCGAGCGUUAUCCGGAUUUAUUGGGUUUAAAGGGUGCGCAGGCGGUCUGUUAAGUCAGCGGGCAAAGCCCGGGGCUCAACCCCGGCCCGCCGUUGAAAAUGGCAGG
rnacentral:rRNA from 1 species